GAGACGAUGCCUAACCAGACUCGCUGCGCGCGUGCCCGGGACUCACGCUUUCGUUCCAGGGACGAGCACCACCACGUGCCAGGGCCUGGAAGAACGCAGGGGAAGACCUUUCGCUGACUUACGCACAGAUACUGAAGUUAAUCCGCAGAAGACCUUCAAAAAACAAAAACCAACAAUCCAGGCUAACUGGAACAAAUCAGUGUGCAACAGGCUGUCAGGCUGUAGCGGUGCAAAUGUCCCUAAAACUCAAGAGCCAGUGAGUAGAGCAGCACUUCAGAUGACCAUGACAAGUCAGCAGGACAAGAAAAACAAGCUUCCAGUUAGUGUACACGUGCACAGUCUUUGUAUUUGGGCACUGAUGAAGGACCUGCAGCAGAUGACAACCCUGUGGCCCAGUCAGCCACCCAACAAGGUUCUAGAUGCAGAAUUCCAGCCUGAAGCAGAAAGAAGUGCCUGGCAAGCCACAAGAUUGGUGCACACAGUUCUUAAGUUUCGGAAAACCUUCAGGCUGCAUCUUCUUUCCCUGGAAGGCCCCUCGACCCUCAGGCAGCCUCUCUGUCCCCAACUGGCUUGUCUCACACAGUUAUUUAUUUGUGAAUUUCUGAAGCACUACUAUAUACUACACACUACAUAGUUGGCACAAAUGCAGAGCUAAGCACAUGUGAUCCCUGGGUGGAAUUUCUGAGACCAAGCUGGCCCCUGACAAAAAGAGGAAGCAUUGAAAGUUGAUUGCAGGGCCUGCUUUAAAGGAGACA
rnacentral:lncRNA from 1 species